GAAACAAAAGAGAUUUUGUUAAAAAGAAGCGAUCUCCUUUGCAACUGUGUUGUCAAAUGUAGCCGCUAGCGAAACACAAGCCGGAUAUUUGUGUAUUCUGCGAGACGCCCGACAAAGCGUGAUAUCUCCUGCAAAGCUGGGGACAAUUUCAGUAUUCGUCUAUUCUUCCGCACGCGGACGGUGACAGUCGCCUGUCUACUGACAGGUGGUAGUGAACUGCUGCUUGAGGUGAAGUUGUGUCGCGCUUUCUAUAGUCCCUUCAGACUAACAGGGUAGAGGGUCGAGCGUACGACUUUCGUUCAAUCGUUUGAAAUCGAAUGAAUGUCCUGCGCCGGAACCAACAAGGACGCCAAUAGAGUUGUGUGGAAGCGGCAA